rnacentral:rRNA from 1 species
AUGAAAAUUACUAGAGUUGGACGAUUACUCCUCUUGGUGUUGUUGGUGACUUUGAGUGCACACUAUGUGGUCGUCGUCGGCACCUCUUCUUCCUUACAUGGAAACACGACAGAUAUGCUAUCUUUGCUUGAUUUCAAGGAUGCAAUCAGCCUCGAUCUGCAACAAGCCUUGAUGUCCUGGAAUGAUAGCACCCAUUUUUGCAAUUGGGAAGGUGUCAUGUGCAGACUGAAGACUCCACGUCGAGUCACCUCGCUAAACCUUGUAAGUCAAGGUUUGGUUGGACACAUCUCUCCUUCACUUGGCAACCUAACAUUCCUUCACUCUCUAGCCCUCACGGAGAACACACUCGCUGGAGAGAUCCCACCCUCCCUCGGUCACCUGCGUCGCCUCCGAACCCUGCAUUUGAAUAAUAACACGUUGCAAGGAAAUAUGCCGAGUUUCGCAAACUGCUCAAAGCUCAAGGUACUAGAUGUUUCAGUUAACAAUCUAGUUGGCCAAUUUCCCACUGAUUUGCCUCCUGACCUUCAGGUGCUGCGGAUCGCACUUAAUAACCUUGCCGGCACCAUACCUACUUCUCUUGCCAAUAUCACAACACUAACCAUGAUUAGUUUUGCGUAUAAUCACAUCCGGGGAAAUACCCCAAGUGAUUUUGCAUCUUUUUCGCGCUUGCAACACCUGUAUGCAGGUGCCAAUCAGCUAGCAGGCAGGUUUCCACAAAGCGUCUUAAAUCUGUCUACUCUCAUCAACCUUGCCCUUCCUCUCAAUGGUCUAAGUGGAGAGGUACCACCAAAUCUAUGUACCUCUCUGCCCAAUCUGCAGAAACUUGCAUUAGGUGGCAACUUCUUUCUAGGGCACAUUCCUAGUUCUUUCACGAAUGCUUCCAAUCUACACCUCUUUGAUUUGGCGGAUAACAACUUCACCGGAUUGGUGCCCACCACGAUUGGCAAACUUACCAAACUCUUGAGCUUCAAUCUUGAAUAUAAUCAGCUCCAAGCACACAGCAAGAAAGAUUGGGAGUUUUUGGACAGCUUAGGAAACUGCACAAAGCUACAGGUAUUCUCCAUGAGUUACAAUCAUCUAUCAGGGCACGUACCGCAUUCACUAGGUAACAUUUCCAGUCUGCUCCAGUAUCUACACUUGGAUGAAAAUCAACUAUCAGGAGAUUUUCCUUAUGGUAUAACAAACCUUCGCAACUUGAUUGUUGUAUCACUGGGAGGGAAUCACUUUACAGGUGUGGUUCCAGAGUGGAUUGGGACUCUCAACACAUUGCAACAGAUAGAUUUAGACACAAACCUCUUUACGGGGGUCAUUCCGUCAUCCUUGUCAAAUUUGUCUCAGUUGGGGCAACUUGAUCUACACUCAAACCAGUUCAUUGGCCAGAUACCACCAAGCUUUGGUAACUUUCCCAUGCUUCAAUAUUUGGACAUUUCCAAGAACAAUCUUCAUAGCGGAGUUCCAAUGGAGAUCUUUGGAAUCCCAUCAGUUAUUGGAAUUGAUUUUUCAUUCAACAACCUUGGUGGACAACUCCCUAUCGAGAUUGGCAAUGCCAAACAACUCAUAUAUUUUCGAGUUUCGUCAAAUAAGCUAUCUGGAGAUGUUCCAAACACUUUGGGUGAUUGUGAAAGUUUGGAAGACAUUGAGUUAGACUCAAAUAUUUUCAGCGGAAGCAUUCCCACUUCAUUGGGCAAGAUAAGCAGCCUCAAAGUUUUGAAUUUUUCUUCCAAUAACUUAACUGGGUCAAUACCAGCAUCUCUUGGCAACCUACAACUUCUGGAGAAACUUGAUUUGUCAUUCAACCAUCUUCAUGGUGAAGUUCCAACAAAAGGGAUCUUCAAGAAUGCAACUGUUGUGCGGAUUUAUGGAAAUCAGGGGCUUUGCGGUGGGGCAUUGGAGUUGCACAUGCUAACAUGUUCUUUUAUGCCUUCAAAUUCAACUAGGCACAAGGAAUACUUAGUGUUGAAAGUAGUCAUCCCAAUAGCUAGUAUGGUGUCACUUGCUAUGGUCAUAUUUGGAUUAAUUUUCUGGAGAGGAAAACACCAAGGCAAAUCUGUAUCGUCACCAUCAUUUGCUACAAAAUUUCCCAAAGUUUCUUUCAACGAUCUGGCAAGAGCAACAGAGGGAUUCUCAACAUCCAACUUAAUUGGAAGAGGGAGAUAUAGUUAUGUCUACCAAGGAAAACUAGCUGAAGAAGAAAAUGAGGUUGCUAUAAAGGUCUUCAACCUAGAGACAAGAGGAGCACAAAAAAGCUUCAUUGCAGAAUGUAAUGCAUUGAGAAAUGUGCGGCACCGUAAUUUGCUACCUAUCUUAACCGCUUGCUCUAGCAUCGAUUCUGAUGGUAACGAUUUCAAGGCCCUAGUGUAUGUGUUCAUGCCACGAGGAGACUUACAUAAACUACUAUAUUCAACUCAAGACCAUGAAGGCUCUUCUAAUUUGUACCUUAUAACAAUGGCUGAAAGGAUAAGCAUUUUGGUGGAUGUAGCAGAUGCACUGGAGUACCUACACCACAACAACCAAGGCAUAAUGGUUCAUUGUGAUCUAAAGCCUAGCAACAUUCUUUUGGAUGAGAAUAUGACAGCUCAUGUUGGAGACUUUGGCCUGGCAAGAUUCAAAGUUGGUUCGACUUCAUCAUCUCAGUGUAACUCAAGUUCUUCUUCGGUUGCAGUAAUGGGAACAAUUGGAUACGCUGCUCCAGAAUAUGCAGGGGGUGGUCAAGUUUCAACCGCCGCGGAUGUUUACAGCUUUGGUGUCGUUCUCCUCGAGAUAUUCAUUCGAAGAAGGCCAACUGAUGACAUGUUUAAGGAUGGACUGAAUAUCGUGAAGUUUACAGAGAUUAGCUUUCCUGAUAGUGUAUUGGAGAUUGUCGAUCCCCAGCUGCUACAGGAAUCGGAGGAAACUCCAGUAGUAUUGAAGGAAACAAGUGUAAAUGUUCUGCUACCUAUUCUAAACAUUGGCCUUCGCUGCACCAAGGCAUCUCCGGGUGAACGCAUCACCAUGCAUGAGGUGGCUGCUAAGCUACAUGGAAUCAGGGAUGCAUAUCUCAAUGCUAACUGA